AUGAACAACCACCACGCUGCUUUUUGGUCCGCUUCUCCUCCUACAGACGAACGUCGUUACAGAAUCACCCACCACAACAGGACCAAGCGGUGUGGUAAUGGGCAACGGAAAAAGCAGCAGCAGGAGCAGCGCGAGGAGGUAUGGACAUGGGAGGACGAAUUAGACGGAAGAGGACCCUGGGCUCAGCCAGGAGAAUAUCGCCGUCCCAAAGAAGAACUGGAGGCGGCGAAAGCGGAGAGGCGCUGGUAUGAGGAGGCAGCGCGGCGUCGUGGAUGGAAGCCCGGGAGUCAGCCCCAAAAAUUUCUUGGGGGGGGGCUAACAGGGAGUAUGGCUACGCCAGGUAGGAGACCUGAGCCAACUUCCUGUGGUUACCGGGGGGCUAGAGAGACCGGGCAGGCACCGUGUUAUGCUGUGGUGCGCACGGUGUCCCCAGUGCGGGUGCACAGCCCGGUGCGGUACAUUCCAGCUCCGCGUAUCGGCCGGGCUAGAGUGGGCAUCGAGCCAAGUGCCAUGAAGCCGGCUCUACGCAUCUGGUCUCCAGUGCGUCUCCUUGGGCCGGCUUACAUGGCACCAGCCUUGCGCACGGUGUCCCCGGUUCGCCUGCAUAGCCCAGUGCGGGCUAUUCCACCUCGCCGCACUGGCAGGGCGACCGGGACCAUUCAACCGGGUAAGGUUGGGCAGGCUCGGUGCUCAAGAGCUCCAGUGCGCCUGCACGGCCCGGUCUAUCCGUCACCACCUCCACACCCCAGCCCUCCGGUGGCAGCUCCCCGUACCAGGCUGUCUCUCCGGCCCAUCCGUCCAGAGCCUUCCUCCUCUCCAGCGCUGCCGGAGUAUCCCGCCUGUCCGGCGCCUCUGCCGGAGCCUCCCGCCUGUCCGGCGCCGCUGCCGGAGCCUCCCGCCUGUCCGGCGCCUCUGCCGGAGCCUCCCGCCUGUCCGGCGCCUCUGCCGGAGCCUCCCGCCUGUCCGGCGCCUCUGCCGGAGCCUCCCGCCUGUCCGGCGCCUCUGCCGGAGCCUCCCGCCUGUCCGGCGCUUCUGCCGGAGCCUCCCGCCUGUCCGGCGCCUCUGCCGGAGCCUCCCGCCUGUCCGGCGCCUCUGCCGGAGCCUCCCGCCUGUCCGGCGCCUCUGCCGGAGCCUCCCGCCUGUCCGGCGCCUCUGCCGGAGCCUCCCGCCUGUCCGGCGCCAUCGGAGCUUCCCGUCUGCCCAGUGCCGCCCGUCUGCCCAGCGCCGCCAGCGCCGCCCGUCUGCCCAGCGCCGCCAGCGCCGCCCGUCUGCCCAGCGCCGCCAGUGCCGCCCGUCUGCCCAGCGCCGCCAGUGCCGCCCGUCUGCCCAGCGCCGCCAGUGCCGCCCGUCUGCCCAGCGCCGCCAGUGCCGCCCGUCUGCCCAGCGCCGCCAGUGCCGCCCGUCUGCCCAGCGCCGCCAAUGCCGCCCGUCAGCCAGGAGCCGCCAGUGCCGCCCGUCAGCCAGGGGCCGCCAGUGCCGCCCGUCAGCCAGGGGCCGCCAGUGCCGCCAGUCAGCCAGGGGCCGCCAGUGCCGCCAGUCAGCCAGGGGCCGCCAGUGCCGCCAGUCAACCAGGGGCCGCCAGUGCCGCCAGUCAGCCCAGCGCCAGCGCCGCCAGUCAACCAGGGGCCGCCAGUGCCGCCAGUCAGCCAGGGGCCGCCAGUCAGCCAGGGGCCGCCAGUGCCGCCAGUCAGCCAGGGGCCGCUAGAGCCCCUCCGCCCGGAGCAGCUGCCCCUCUGUCCCGAGCAGCUGUCCCUCUGUCCCGAGCAGCUGUCCAUCUGUCCCGAGCAGCUGUCCCUCUGUCCCGAGCAGCUGUCCCUCUGUCCCGAGCAGCUGUCCCUCUGUCCCGAGAAGCUGCCCCUCUGUCCCAAGCAGCCCCUCUGUCCAGUGGGGUCAUUGAGAGGGGUGGGCAUGGUGAGUAAGCCACGGAGGCGGACAAUAAGGCGGACUAAGACAAUGGCGAAGUGGGGUCCGCGUCCCGCGCCAGAGCCGCCACCGCGGACAGACGCCCACCCAGACCCUCCCCUAUAG
ensembl:lncRNA